ACUCGGAAUAUCUUCUGCAACAACGAGGUUCAAACGUGGUAUGAGGCUGCAGAGGUAUGCAAAAGUGGCGGGGGAAAACUGGUUGCCUAUGAUAGAGGUUUAGGCAAAUCUAUAGCAGAGCUAAAUCUAAUACAGGAAGUAGAUAUCUGGACAGCCGAUUAUGCAAGAACACAGACUUGGAAUGGAAAUAGAAUGAUAAGAAAUAACAGUUUCACGGACUUGUGUGGUUUUAGUUAUGCUAACAGCACGUCCUUGUCAAUACGUGAUGAGCUUUUCGGCGAUUGCUAUACAAAAAGACGUUACUUUUGCAUGAAUUCAACAACAUUCAAGAUAGACGUCUUUGAAAAUGAUCGUUUUAAUAUUCGCUGCAACGACACCAUUCUAUUCUGAGGAUUUAGCGCAUACAUGUAUAAAACCAGGGUUUUUUACUGGACAAGUACAAUUUUGACGGCAAACAUAGAAAGAGGAAUCGCUACAAACUCAAACUGCAAAUGUCUUGUGCGGAGCGUAUACAAAAGACAUAGGGAACUACUUUAUCAACUGUAACACCAAACGUUUGUCGUUAUAGCCAAGGUCAUGAUGGAGAAAACCACCAUUUCUCCAAAGGAUGUUUCAGUGAUGUGGUUAACGGAACCGCAACAUCAACUCUUCUGAUCAAUCAAUCAGUUCAAUCCUCAACGGAAAUUCAAUGUAACUAUGCCAUGAACAACGGGGUGGACCUAGAAGCAAUAUCUGGUAAUGGUGAUGAUAUUGGUCUGGAAGUUGGACUACCUGUUGCAGGUUGUUUGAUAAUACUGCUUGGAGUUAUAAUUUUCAUAAGUGUCAAUAAAAUGAUGAAACAAAAGAGCAACGUCUGUAGCGACAAUCACACUAAUGAUGCAACAAAUACACAUACUAAUAAUGAUCUUAAUAUGUAUGAAUCUCUUGGUCAAAGAAACAUUGAUGAAAGCUCAUAUAGCUGUGUUGAAGUAUCCUUGCUCGGAAAUAGAGGAAAAGUCUCCGUAUGUCAAUACAUAUACUGCCAAUACCUUAUCACACGUAUAAAUAAACAUUUGGUAUAAAAGAUAAGAAAAAGGGCAAACAACAAACACCCUGUUCGUUUACUGUUUAUGAAGAUUCAUCAUCUUCUCAAUAGUUUUGCAAAUUCACGAUAUCAAAGACAUUCUGCGAUCGGAUAUAGAAAUCAUGAAUUAAGUAUUUAGUGGUGAAGGACACGAAGUCAAGUGAUGAAGGACAGAAGUCAAGUGAUAAAGCACAUGAAGUCAAAAUUUCGCUAACUGUCAUCGAAUAGUAGAGAUAUAUAUUAAAGAAUGUCUUAUUUAGAGCAAUUGUCAAACCUCCUAAAAUAAUAUCAGUUAGAACUUUAAAUAUGUAUAUUUCAUGGAAAAGGCUCUUGAAACGUCAUCAUCCUUUUAUCGCUUUUGCAUAAAUCAAACAGUUUUCUUUAUGCUUGAGGAUCACCUUCGACAAACACACACAUCUUUGUUGCAUUGUUAAUAUGUUUUUAUGUAACAACAUCUUCAACCUUCUAAAAGAGUCUUAUAUUGGAAUACUUCACUAUCUAUUUGAAAUAUAAACAUCAGCUAUGAAAAUACCAUAGACUGUUGUAGUCAUUGAACUAUAGUCCAUGCUCCAACUGACCUGCGACUUCGAUGACUUAGACAAUUUUUGUUGGGUUAUAUAGGUCAUACGGCAAGCUUUUGAUGGCAGAAAAAGACCCCAGGGCCCAGUUGUUCGAAACUUUAACAGGCGAUUAAGCUAACGGUUGAUUAACUUUUAGGGUUAUUUUUCGGCAUUUCAGAAGACUUUGAAAAACAAAUGUAUGAGGUAAGAAUUUUGAAGACUGGCAAAUCUUUACAAUAAAAUCAAAACAUCAUACUAGUGUCUCCCACCAAGUCUACAAGUCUAGUAUUUUGAAUAAAAUUUAACCGGAGGUUAGUUUAACAGCCGGUUAAAGUUUCGAACAACCGGGCCCAGGUGUCCCUUUGGGCACUAUUUCAUCACGGACGGGCACCUGGGUAGAGCCACUGACCUUCAGUAAGCAAACUGGAUGGCUUCCUUACAUGUAAAAUUCUACGCCCAAAUCGUGGCUCGAAACCACAUCGGUGAGUGUCAAGUAAUUUGAAGUCAGCAAACUAAACACUCAGCCACAGAGGUCCCCUUUAGCCUUGUCAAGGGUGCAUACUUAUCUUCUAUCAAAUCUAUAGAAAUUUAGUUAUAGCACCAGAAGUUUAAGCUUUGUUAAGGUAAGUGCAAUGAGGUUGUUUAGAAAUAGUUUGAUAAUAUCUGUAAUUUUUACAUUCGUAUCCAGUUUUUUAGACUAACGAUAGUUGAGAGAAAUUAUCAAUUUUGAAAUUUAAUACGAAAUAAAUAAAUUUGUUUUUAAAUGGUUUGUGCAUUUUAAAUCCUAAAUACAAUUGUUUCAAUUAUUUCGUUUAUUUUUGAGCAUACGUUAAAUGGACUAUUCUCAUUUAAAUACAGCAUGAGGUUGGAAAAGAACUUUGCAAACAAUUACAACCAUUAUAACUAACCGACAACAAACCAACCGAGUUAUCACACUGUACACUAUAACAGACAACCAUUCAAUAGGUUGAAACUAUAUUGAUUUAUGUUAAUACGGUUCAUGUGAUUUGGCAAUAUCAACUCUGACAGAUUUCUCAUGAAGAUGACAAGUUAACUACGAAGAAGCAAUAUGGCAAUAGCCACCCAUUGUAUAGCUAGCUUUUAACUAAUCACUGCAACAAAAUUUAGAAAUGUAGCUGUUGUGUGGUUAAUGUUCAUGCUGGAUCGUGCAUUGGUUUGAGAUCCUUAGUCAUAUGGGUUCAGCAUGACAUACGAAAUUUAUUUGACAACCACUGUUUGACAGGACAGUGCAUAAUUUAGAGAAAUAUCACAUAUGAAAGGAUCACAAACAAUAUUUUAUGUAUUCUACUUGACGUUUAGAAAGUAUUUUCAAGUAAGUUGUUACAUGAAUACACGUUACGAUCUGUUAAAAAGUAAAUUGUUGUUGUAAAAUAAAUUUCGUAUGUCAUGCUGAAUCCAUAUGUAUUCGAAGUAAUUUUAUUAUCAGUAGUAAUAUCUUUAUAGUAAUUUUGUCACUUACAUAAAUUAGGAUAUCAAUUCUGUCUCGUUUGUUAUUAUAUAGUCUUUUGCCAAAAAAAUGACAAUAACGUUGAUACUGCCUAUAUUUUGUCAUAUCU
rnacentral:lncRNA from 1 species